rnacentral:tRNA from 1 species
GACGCGGUACGCGAACUUGGAACAGCGGCCGAGCUUAAACCUCGGUGUUUGCGGGUUCGACUCCCGCCUGCGUCA